GGACGGGUGCGUAACGCGUGGGAAUCUGCGCUUGGGUUGGGAAUAACUUCGGGAAACUGACGCUAAUACCGGAUGAUGACGAAAGUCCAAAGAUUUAUCGCCGGGGGGGGAGCCCGCGUAGGAUUAGCUAGUUGGUGGGGUAAAGGCCUACCAAGGCGACGAUCCUUAGCUGGUCUGAGAGGAUGAUCAGCCACACUGGGACUGAGACACGGCCCAGACUCCUACGGGAGGCAGCAGUAGGGAAUAUUGGACAAUGGGCGAAAGCCUGAUCCAGCAAUGCCGCGUGAGUGAUGAAGGCCUUAGGGUUGUAAAGCUCUUUUACCCGAGAUGAUAAUGACAGUAUCGGGAGAAUAAGCUCCGGCUAACUCCGUGCCAGCAGCCGCGGUAAUACGGAGGGAGCUAGCGUUGUUCGGAAUUACUGGGCGUAAAGCGCACGUAGGCGGCGAUUUAAGUCAGAGGUGAAAGCCCGGGGCUCAACCCCGGAACUGCCUUUGAGACUGGAUUGCUAGAAUCUUGGAGAGGCGAGUGGAAUUCCGAGUGUAGAGGUGAAAUUCGUAGAUAUUCGGAAGAACACCAGUGGCGAAAGCGGCUCGCUGGACAAGUAUUGACGCUGAGUGCGAANGCGUGGGGAGCAANNNGAUUAGAUACNNUGGUAGUCCACGCNNNAACGAUGAUAACUAGCUGCUGGGNCACAUGGNNNUUCGGUGGCGCAGCUAACGCAUUAAGUUAUCCGCCUGGGGAGUACGGUCGCAAGAUUAAAACUCAAAGGAAUUGACGGGGGCCUGCACAAGCGGUGGAGCAUGUGGUUUAAUUUGAAGCAACGCGCAGAACCUUACCAGCGUUUGACAUCCUCAUCGCGGAUUUCAGAGAUGAUUUCCUUCAGUUCGGCUGGAUGAGUGACAGGUGCUGCAUGGCUGUCGUCAGCUCGUGUCGUGAGAUGUUGGGUUAAGUCCCGCAACGAGCGCAACCCUCGCCUUUAGUUGCCAGCAUUUAGUUGGGUACUCUAAAGGAACCGCCGGUGACAAGCCGGAGGAAGGUGGGGAUGACGUCAAGUCCUCAUGGCCCUUACGCGCUGGGCUACACACGUGCUACAAUGGCGACUACAGUGGGCUGCAACCGUGCGAGCGGUAGCUAAUCUCCAAAAGUCGUCUCAGUUCGGAUUGUUCUGUGCAACUCGAGCGCAUGAAGGGGGAAUCGAUUGUAAUCGCAGAUCAGCAUGCCGCGGGGAAUACGUUCCCAGCCCUUGUCCACACCCCCCGUCACACCAUGGGAUUGGGAUUCACCGGAAGGCACUGCCCUACCCCGCAAGGGAGGCAGCCGACCACGGUGGGAUUAGAGACUGGGGGAAGUCGUAACAA
rnacentral:rRNA from 1 species